CGGCUGCUGCCGGGGGGCGCGGCGGGCGCAGCGCAGCGGCGGGCGGCGGCGCGAGCGGCUCCCUCCAGUGCCCGCGCGGGCGGCGGCGGCGGCGGCGUCGAGCGGUGCAGACAAAGGAGGGGCGGAGGGAGGAGACGGAGGGUGUGGGAGCGGCGGCUUCACCGGGCGGGCGGGCGGCGGCGGCGGCGGCCGCGCUCCUCUCGCUCCUCAGCAGCGGGGACCGAGAGAGGGAGCUGUGUCUGAGGAGACGCCAAAAUCCCCCUUAGCGCUGCCCGCGGGAGGGGGAGGGGCACAAGAUGGCGGCGGCCGGGGGGCGGGAGUUCAGCUCAUGGAUCCCGGCGGGCGGCGGAGGGGAGACCGGGCCGGCGGAGGCGGCGGCGGCAACGGGCGGGGGAGGGGGCCGAUCCCGCGUCUCCCCUCGGCAGACAAUACAAGCGCCUCGGAGCGAGUCCCCGAACCUGCCCUAGCCAAAAUGGCGGCCGAGAAAGAGCGGAAGUGACCGCCGGAGAUGAGGCACGGCCCCACGGAGGCGACCCUUCCCGGAGGCUGGGUCACGCGGCGGACAGGGGCUGCCGCGCCGGGCCGGACAGUCUUCCAAGUCAGCGAUGGGCUCUUCUCUUGGGCCUGAAGAGAAUGGGAUCUCUAGCGUUUGAGGCCACCGGACUGGUGAAACCUGAGGAGGAGAUGUGCUGCGGCCAAUGGGCCUCCACGCUUGGGCUGCAGUCCCAGGACAGUCGCCUGCAAUGCUCCCGCGGUCGGGACAGCAGAAGACAGCACGUGGGCAGUCCGCCUUUGUAAAUUUAGGUCAACCCCAACGACACAAUAUCUCCUCCACAUUCUGAACCCACCUCUCUAGCACAGCGCAUCUGCGAGUCUCUCAUCGGCUACGCAAACUGCAAAGUAAUAAAUGCCAACUGUGAAGGAUCAAGCAA